rnacentral:rRNA from 1 species
GAUGAACGCUGGCGGCGUGCCUAAUACAUGCAAGUCGAGCGAACAGAUGAGGAGCUUGCUCCUCUGACGUUAGCGGCGGACGGGUGAGUAACACGUGGAUAACCUACCUAUAAGACUGGGAUAACUUCGGGAAACCGGAGCUAAUACCGGAUAAUAUAUUGAACCGCAUGGUUCAAUAGUGAAAGACGGUUUUGCUGUCACUUAUAGAUGGAUCCGCGCCGCAUUAGCUAGUUGGUAAGGUAACGGCUUACCAAGGCGACGAUGCGUAGCCGACCUGAGAGGGUGAUCGGCCACACUGGAACUGAGACGGUCCAGACUCCUACGGGAGGCAGCAGUAGGGAAUCUUCCGCAAUGGGCGAAAGCCUGACGGAGCAACGCCGCGUGAGUGAUGAAGGUCUUCGGAUCGUAAAACUCUGUUAUUAGGGAAGAACAAAUGUGUAAGUAACUAUGCACGUCUUGACGGUACCUAAUCAGAAAGCCACGGCUAACUACGUG